AAGGCUUUUGACUGAAUCCAACAACAUUCGUUUUAUCCGUUUCAGUCAUAGAUUGCUCAUACUGAAUUAAGUGGGAUUCUAGAAGUCUUUGUGUUUCUGUUGUUUUGUUUUUGCCUGAAACAUGGCACGGAGACAUCGGAGAAGAGGUUCUUUUGAAAAAGAAACUGAAUUGUGUCCACUCUUGUUUCAGAGAGGCAAAAGGCUCUGAAGAAAGAGAUCCAGAAGAAGGAAAGGUCAUCUGGCCAAGAAACUGCGAAAAAGGGGUCUAAUGGCUGUCUUAAACCUGCAAGCAACAUCAUCCGGAGAUUCUCUAGAUUUCCUGGAAGGAGGGAUAAAGAGACUGUCCACAUAAAGACUGAUGGAUUGAUAGAACAUCAGAUUUGGCAUCAAUUUGUGCUGUAGAAUUAUCAAUCUGAGAACUUUAUUUGUGUGGUACAGUAGGCAAAAUUCAUAAUCUUCCCCCAAAUCUAUACUGUGGAAUCCUUCUAAAGCCUUUCCCAAAAUGUUUGCUUUAUUUAUAUCUGUUAUAGCUACAAUAUCAUCUUCUACUAAAACUGGUAUGUGAAUCGACAUUCGACCUUUCCCACUCAUAUUCCUUAUCAUAUUCCAUAUCUUAUCCACAUGCCUUUCCUUAUCUAUAGUAGAGCAAAAAUUCCUCCAUCCUGUUCUCUUAGCAGACUUAAUAAUUCUCCUUGCUUUUUUAUAUAUCAGCCAAUUAUUCAUGUUUAAAUUGUUCCUGAGUUGUUUAAAUGCUGUGUUCCUUUCUCUAAUUGCUCUGUUACACUCUUCUGUCCACCAUGGCAUUUUCCUCACUUUUUGACCUGUUGUUCUUUGAGGUAUAUAUAAUGUUGCUACUUCUAAUAUCAUAUUAGAAAGAGAUCUACAGAAGGUUUCCACAGAGGCUUUUAUCACUCUCUUUAUUUAUCUCACAAUAAUUUUUAAAUGAAGACCAGUCCACUUUAUCAUACAGUACAUCCAUUUUCAUUGCAGGUAAUGCCCUGUUUUAUAGCUAUUAAUAUUUAGUUCACAUAGUACUGGAAAAUGAUCACUUCCAGUGGUUGUUUCACUAACUACGUUCCAUUCACAUAUCUCAGCAAUUUCAAUUGAGAUUAAUGUCAAAUCUAUACAUGAUGUUGUAUUCCUUGUUAUGUGUAAAUCUAGUGUCUUGCCCUGUAUUUAAACAAACUAAAGACCUAUCUUCAAUGAACUCUUCCAACUAUUUCCCCAUUGGAAUCUAUUUUUGUACUACCCCAUAACCAAUUGUGUGCACUAAAAUCUCUGCACCAUAACUCCUUUUUUUCCCCUGUUCUCUCCAACCUUCUCAAGCAAACAUUGUGCCAUUUUUGAACAUGCAUUAUAAAAAUUAUAUACAAUAAGUGAUCCACCAUGAUAAUACAUUUCUACCAUAACACAUUCUGCUUCUAUAACUUCAUGAAUUGCUCUAUAUGCUAUUCCUUCUCGUAUAAAUGUAACUACUCCUCCACCUUGUGUUCCCAAUCUAUCCUUUCAUACAGAGUUAUAUCCUGGCAAAAUAAAUUGCAGGUUUGGCUUCAACCAUGAUUCUUGUAUGCAUACUAUAUUUGGUUUAAGAUCUAACUCUAAUACACAUUUUUUUAACUCUUGACCAUUCACUAUCCGAUUUCUUGCAUUCCAUUGCAAUACACUAAUUACCAUCAAACUAGUCCGAAAACUGAGAGGUUUCAUGCAAAGUUGAUCGAGUAAAUAUAUCAUGAAUCAUGUUGGCUGAAAUUCCUAAAAAUUCCAAUGCAGCUUCCAAAAUUGUUUUAAUCUUUGCUGAUCUGCUUGACAGCAUUGCUGUAAAAUUAAUAACCUUGACAAUAAAUGCC